ACGGGUGCGUAACGCGUGGGAAUCUGCCCUCUGGUACGGAAUAACUCAGGGAAACUUGAGCUAAUACCGUAUAAUGACUUCGGUCCAAAGAUUUAUCGCCUGAGGAUGAGCCCGCGUCGGAUUAGCUAGUUGGUGGGGUAAAGGCCUACCAAGGCUACGAUCCGUAGCUGGUCUGAGAGGAUGAUCAGCCACACUGGGACUGAGACACGGCCCAGACUCCUACGGGAGGCAGCAGUGGGGAAUAUUGGACAAUGGGCGAAAGCCUGAUCCAGCAAUGCCGCGUGAGUGAUGAAGGCCUUAGGGUUGUAAAGCUCUUUUACCCGGGAUGAUAAUGACAGUACCGGGAGAAUAAGCCCCGGCUAACUCCGUGCCAGCAGCCGCGGUAAUACGGAGGGGGCUAGCGUUGUUCGGAAUUACUGGGCGUAAAGCGCACGUAGGCGGCUUUGUAAGUUAGAGGUGAAAGCCCGGGGCUCAACUCCGGAAUUGCCUUUAAGACUGCAUCGCUAGAAUUGUGGAGAGGUAAGUGGAAUUCCGAGUGUAGAGGUGAAAUUCGUAGA
rnacentral:rRNA from 1 species